rnacentral:lncRNA from 1 species
UUUUUUCAAACGAGAAUGAUCCAAAUUCAUAUCCAACACAAACCAAAAUACAUCUACAAUAUAUAAACCAAUUAUCCAAAUUUCAUAUCCAUUUACAUCCACCAGUAGAUACCAAUACACACUCCAAACCAUUAUCCACUAUAAUCCCAAAGUCCAUCCAUAUACCCAAGUAAGACAAAAUGGAAAAAAAAGAAGAAAUCAGUGGAGAAGAGCUAAAGCUGCAACAUUAUAAAGUGGCCAAAACGCAGGAAAGCACGUGCAAUGAAGUAAGAAGCAAAAACUCAGAGUACAUAGCAGGAAAAAUCGCCAAGCUGCCGUCCAAGCCAUAACGAACCAUCAAUAAUUCAUUGACUCUUCAGAAUGAGUAGUAGUACAUAAUGGCAAGUUUAACAUUCCACAUAACCAACUAACGGCAAUACAACAACUAACCAACCUUUCAAAAACGCCAAUUGACAUUGAAAACUCAGCAUAACAAGACCUUCAAAGGCCAAUGGUUCACAACCUGCACAAUAGUUCAUAAAUCAAACAAUAAUCCAUUAGUGGCGGACCUGCAAAGCAAUGCUGAACAACAACCAUACAUCACCUCCAUUUCAGCAAUACAAGGCAUGGCAUCCCAAAGACUCAUAAUCAUAACUGGCAAAUAGAAUUAACCAACCGACAACCAAAAUCCCUAACCAACAUCUAACUGAAUUUCCAAAUUGCAACUAACUUCAGAAUAGAAUCAUAACAGAUUCUAACCGAAAAAUCCACUUCAACGCAACUAUCAAAAGCCUACCUAUAACUGUUUUCUUCUAAGAACUCUCAGGAGGGACCUUCAUAAUUUCUCAACCCGAAAAUCAACCACCACUUCACCAGAAUUUUUCCAACUCACUCAACCAAAAACCUCCCUUCACCAUUUGAAUAGCUUCCAAAUGCAAAGAAACCAAUUCCGCCCUAUUAAAAAUUUCUAUAACAGAAGUAAGUAGAAAAGGUCAUAUAACUAAAAGUCCCUAACAAAAGAAAACUCCCAAACAGAACUAUAAAUUUCUAACCUCACAAAUCCAAAACAGAAUUAACUAACCCUGCCCAACAAGUAACAAACCUGACCGACUCCCGAUUCAGUUAGUCUCCCAUCCUCUAUAAAAUCGAGUCAGUAUACCAUUCAGCGGGGUCUCCUCCAUUUUUCUGCAGAGCCCUCAUCAUUUCCUUCAUUGUUUAUCUCUGAACAAAAUGAAGAACGACUGAAACUCUUUCAAUCUUGAAUUCAUUCUCGUCACCUGCAAAUCCAAUUCUGGAGUUAGCAACAGAAAACGCAGGUACGCAAAGAGAGAGUAUUCGAUGCACAAUUCCAAUUACGGCAUCCGUCACAACACACCACAACAAUGCAAGGUCAUCACCGAGAAAAGGGACUGUCUGCCAAAGUCUUCCAUGAUUCUGCAGAAAUCAGAACUUGAGUACAGAAGAAGAAGAAGAAGUUCAGAUUGAAGCCAGGGCAGAGGAAUUCGAUGCCUUUUCGUGUUUGAAGCUUUAUUUUCGAUGAGUUUCUUCACUUCGACUCUUUUUUGUCGACGCGUGCGUGCAGCGGAAUCGACCAGAGUUUCGGUGAUUUCAAGUUGUGAAUCCACCAAAGUUCUGAAUGGAUUGAUGAACGCAAUCCUCGAAGGACGCAAACCACAAGUGAAGGUGGAAAACGUGAUGCUUUGUGAGCUGAAGGUUGAACGCGACGAUGAUGUUGACGAAGCUUCAAAUUGUCAAGCUGAUAGAGAGAACACAACGUGGAUAUUCUGAGGCAAGAACCGCGAAGGCAACACCGAUGGAGGAGCCGCGAUUGAAGUUUUCGAGGAGACGCUUCUAUGUUGUUAACGGCG